AACAGAACAGGGCUCGCUCGCCGCGGUCACGAGAGCUCCAGGGGAGUGACGUCACUUUCCUAAACCGGGCAGCGGCCGUUGAGUUGAGUCCCAAACCAGAGACGAGCAGGAGUCCACCAACAGCUCAACUUUUAAUGAAUGCGGGCCGAGGAGAGCCGCCGUGAAGGGUCGCGCCGGUUUCGCCUUCCGUAUGCUCCCUCCUGGUCGACAUAGCUCCACAAAGACUCGCUGUGUUCACACUUGUUCAGCGGCUAAUCUGGUUUUAGCUAUUUUUAAAAAGCGCUUGUCUCUUCUUUUAUGUGUCUCGCGCUCCCCGCGACUCUCGGCACAAGGACUAGGUCUCGACUGAGCGAUUGAGUGAGCGACUGCAUGGGUCGGACUGAACAUGAAGAGCCUCAAAGCCAAGUUUAGAAAAACUGAUUUUCCAUGUGAUCAAGUGUGUGGUGGGGCAGGAUGGUGAGCUCUGAUUUAAUGGCAUGCUCUGCUGAGGGAGAGGGAGAGAGACUGAUCUGCAGAGGAGGAAUUAGGUGAAGUACAUGCACCCUUUUAUUCAAUUAUACCCACAACAUGAGCUGCAAGGCAUAACACGACUCGGGAUUAUUGUGUAGUGGGCUAGAUGUGUGCUAGUAUGGAGAAAAUGAAACCCCCCUCGAGAUCCACACGUAAAACAUCAAGGAAAACAAUCAAAUGUGCACUUAAAAUUAUUCUGGGAACAACAAAACUAUCAGCAAUUUAUUCCUAAUGUUUGAUUCCAUUUUUUUUAAAGCUGCGUCAUUGCAUAUAAAAUCAGAAUCAGAAUACUUU